AAUUUUCAAUCUCGCAACACUGCCCAGACUGAAAGCUGCAAGCUUCUGGCGGUGGUACGCCAUGUUUGUUUUGAGCUCUUGUUUGAGCAAAAGUUCUUUUCGUUUUUUCGCUGGCAAUCUCAAUAAAUAAUAAUUAGUUCGUCCUCAAACUGUUCGGAUUGGAUCGAGUGGAGCCACUUCCUCCAGGACUACCUGCUGCAGGGAGCCGACGUAGCCUCUCGCGAAUCCAAUGUGCCUCUCGCGAAUGUGCUGACCAUAGUGCACGACCUUACAAUGCACCUGGUCGUCGAUUACAAUCUCCAUGUGGUCAAACUGAAAAGCCUGAAGCAGGCUCAAGCUGGCGGAAAUAGCCGAAAAGAUGCGAUUCAACAUUACCAAAUUGGAGCCGGUUCUUUGUUAGGAGCGACUCUUGUUGGCUGGAGAAGAUCCUGAUGAUUUCCGGACCGGUCGAUAGGCCGUUGCGAGCGCCCAAGGAAAAAUAGUCUGAAGUCAUCGACUGUAUCACUUAGUUAAGUUGUUUUUAUACGGUGGUAUCUCGUCUAGAACUGGCUUCCAUAUUUCAAGUGAUAAACAACUCACCUUUAGCCAUGCCGUUUCACCCGAUGGACUUCGUGCGCUUCCUUUGGACAUUAUUGCUGCGGAAAGACCAAUUAGGGCAACGUAUCAUACGAACAGAUAGUGGCAACUCAACAUACCCUGCCAAGCAAGACUACCAUUCGACGAACAACGACACCCGUUCAGUGAAAUUCUAUCUGUUAGCUUAAAUUUAAUUUUCUUCGUUCAAAUGCAGCGAAAUAUAACAAAUAAAAAUGAUUGUAUGUGCAAUACUAAUAAAAAACAA